CCUACGGGUGGCAGCAGUGAGGAAUAUUGGUCAAUGGACACAAGUCUGAACCAGCCAUGCCGCGUGCAGGAAGACGGCUCUAUGAGUUGUAAACUGCUUUUGUACGAGGGUAAACGCAGAUACGCGUAUCUGUCUGCAAGUAUCGUACGAAUAAGGAUCGGCUAACUCCGUGCCAGCAGCCGCGGUAAUACGGAGGAUUCAAGCGUUAUCCGGAUUUAUUGGGUUUAAAGGGUGCGUAGGCGGUCGGAUAAGUUAGCGGUGAAAUCCCGAGGCUCAACUUCGGAAUUGCCUCUGAUACUGUUCGGCUAGAGAGUAGUUGCGGUAGGCGGAAUGUAUGGUGUAGCGGUGAAAUGCUUAGAGAUCAUACAGAACACCGAUUGCGAAGGCAGCUUACCAAGCUACGUCUGACGUUGAGGCACGAAAGCGUGGGGAGCAAACAGGAUUAGAUACCCGAGUAGUC
rnacentral:rRNA from 1 species